AUUGAACGCUGGCGGCAGGCCUAACACAUGCAAGUCGAGCGGAGCGGCGGACGGGUGAGUAAUGCCUAGGAAUCUGCCUGGUAGUGGGGGAUAACGUCCGGAAACGGGCGCUAAUACCGCAUACUAUCAGAUGAGCCUAGGUCGGUGUAGCUAGUUGGUGGGGUAAAGGCCUACCAAGGCGACGAUCCGUAACUGGUCUGAGAGGAGGAUCAGUCAAACGGGAACGGGGACAGGGGCCAGACUCCUACGGGAGGCAGCAUGGGGGAAUUUUGGACAAUGGGCGAAAGCCUGAUCCAGCCAUGCGGGGUGUGUGAAGAAGGUCUUCGGAUUGUAAAGCACUUUAAGUUGGGAGGCGUUACCAACAGAAUAAGCACCGGCUAACUUCGUGCCAGCAGCCGCGGUAAAC
rnacentral:rRNA from 1 species